UUUCGGUCUUUCUCCCUCACUCAGUUAAGACUCCUCCCUUCUUAUCUGUCUGGCCGUCUGGCUUUGGUCUGAGCCGACAGCAGGGAGCAAUUACCGAGUGUUUACUCUGCACACCAACCGCUUCGCACACCGCCGCCGCUAGACGCUUCCAGCAGUGUCGUCCAGCGGAGUUCACUGUCCUUCCAGCUGAGGUCAGCGUCUGGGUGACAGUCCACCCCUCACCUCUUGGCCACCGUGGGAGGACUGGGCCAGCCGUGACUCACACAGCUGCUGCAUGAUCACCUGUCGCAGCUUGCAAAAGAGUUUGAGCAUUACCUCCCACCCACAAAAGCCUUCUGAACUGGGAAGAAAUGGAUCUGCAACCCAUUUGUGAAUAAGCCAGUUCUGGAGGGCAGGAGUCCAGACUCAGUUUCACUGGCUACAGCCCAGAUGCAGACGGCUGCUACCUUCCGGAGGCCCUGAGGAGAUGAUUAUCCUCCUUCCCUGUCCACACCCAGGGGUGAAACCUGUGAGUCGACGUCCCGCUCUCCUUCCCCAAAGAAACCGCUCCAUCCUCUGCCGCUACCACACGUCUUCUGCCAACAGGGAGCCUGCUGCCUCGCUCUUUUAAAAAUCAAUUUUUAACAUUUUUACUAGUCCAGGUUUGCAGUACGGACGGCCCUCCUUGUGCGGAGUUGAAGUGUGUGCAUACCACACCUUAAUUCCUCUUUUCAUCCCCUCGCCUCCCUGCCCCAUCUCUUCCCAUUUGCCAAAGACCUACCUCCCUGUUUCCGAUUGUUUAUUUUUCUCUUUAAUCAUAACUUGGGUUUCUUACACGAGAUAAACGAUGUGAUAUUUAAA